UAGAAAAAUCUAGGAAUUUUAUUUUUUAAUAAACAACUUGUUGCAUAAGUUUAUUGUUUUAAUAAAAAUGUGAUAACAUUAUCAUUACUACUUUGCAGUUGCAAACAGUUAAUUCUAUCCUGUGUAACUGGUAAUAUGUUCGUUAAAAUUUCUUUGUCUACAACUAUCAAAGCAUCAAUUUCUUUAUCCUCGUUAAGAAAUAUUCAAAGUUAUUCUGUUGUCAUGUCUAAAUUUGACCUCCCUGAUCGCUUAAAAGGCAAUGAUAAAUCAGUAUGGGUAGAAUAUAUUCAGUUGGCUUUAAAAUAUAAACCAUUAAAUUUAGGGCAAGGACAUCCAGAUUUCUAUGCUCCAGAAAAUGUAACGAAAGCCUUAGUUGAUGCAGCAACAAGUGACAAUCCUCUUUUGAAUCAAUAUACCAGAGGAUUUGGUCAUCCACGUUUAGUAAAUGUUAUUGCAAAAUUAUAUUCGAAACUUUUGGACCGUACUUUAGAUCCAAAUAAUGAAGUUAUUGUAACUUGUGGUGCUUAUGAAGCAUUAUAUGAUGUAUUACAAGGUCACACUAAUCCUGGUGAUGAAUGGAUAAUUAUUGAACCAUUUUUUGAUUGUUAUGUGCCUAUGAUUAGAACUGCUGGAGGAAUUCCAAGAUACAUUGCUUUAAAGCCAAAGAGGACAAAUGAACUUCUUUCUUCUGCAGACUGGAUAUUUGACAAACAAGAAUUAGAGAGUCUUUUCAAUGAAAAGACGAAAGGGAUAAUUAUUAACACUCCACAUAAUCCCAUAGGAAAGGUUUUUACUUUAAAUGAGUUGGAAUUUAUUGCAAAUUUAGCUAAGAAAUGGAAUACUCUUGUUGUAUCGGAUGAAGUGUAUGAAUGGCUUGUUUACGAGCCAUAUAAACAUAUUAGAAUUGCAACAUUACCUGGCAUGUACGAACGUACAAUUACGAUUGGAUCUGCUGGUAAAACAUUCAGCGUUACUGGAUGGAAAAUAGGAUGGGCCUAUGGUCCAGCAAAUUUACUAUAUAAUUUGCAAGUGGUUCAUCAAAAUUGUACAUAUACGUGUAAUACACCAAUUCAAGAGGCUAUAGCUGUUGGAUUCGAACAAGAAUUAGAAAGAUUCGGUCAACCUGACUGUUACUUUGUGAGUUUAGCUAAGGAAUUGCAACCGAAACGAGAUUAUAUGGCUAAAUUUCUUAGUGAUAUAGGGAUGAUUCCAACAAUUCCCGAAGGUGGAUAUUUUAUGAUUGCUACUUGGACUGCUUUAAAAGAUAAGGUUCGACUAGAAGAAGAAACAGAUGAGAAUAAAGAUUAUCGUUUUACAAAAUGGAUGACGAAAAAUGUUGGAAUUCAAGGAAUUCCACCAUCCGCGUUUUAUGUUUCCGAACAUAAGCACCUGGCUGAAGAUUACGUACGAUAUUGCUUCAUAAAGAAAGAUGAAAAUUUGAAGAAAGCAGCUGAUAUUUUAAUGAAAUGGAAAUCUCAGCAAUAAUAAGAAUUUCCAUUAUUCCAAGCAAUUAUCGAAUUAUUUAAAUAUCAGAAAUCGCCACGAAGCCAUCUUUUCGCAUCUUUGGUGUCAGCUCCGAAAGUUUUGCCAAAUCUAAAUGGAUGUGCCCAAGAUAAUUUGGAAGCAUGCCAACAUGUUUGUGGUAAAUAGUAGUGGGUUCGAUUAUAAGUGGUGGAUCAGGUCGUGAAAUUGUUACUGGUGCCCAUUCUGUACUUUGUCGUUUUCGAUAAUCAGAUGUAAAAUCACAAAGGGCACUAUUCGUAGCGGCAACAUUUGUUUUUCCAAAAUGCGCAUAUCCGUAUGGUAUAUAACCCGUAUAUCCUUCAGAGAUACGAUAUUAAAAAUUUGUUAUUACAA